rnacentral:rRNA from 1 species
UACGUAGGGGGCAAGCGUUGUCCGGAAUUAUUGGGCGUAAAGCGCGCGCAGGCGGCUACUUAAGUCUGGUGUUUAAGCCAUGGGCUCAACCUGUGGUCGCACUGGAAACUGGGUGGCUUGAGUACAGAAGAGGAAAGUGGAAUUCCACGUGUAGCGGUGAAAUGCGUAGAGAUGUGGAGGAACACCAGUGGCGAAGGCGACUUUCUGGGCUGUAACUGACGCUGAGGCGCGAAAGCGUGGGGAGCAAACAGG